GUGAAAUUGGAAGCGAUUAAAUAGAGGGUUAAACAGCCCCACCUGGUGGAGCAUUGUUGUCAUUCUCACUGAAGCUGGUUAGUCUCGCGAGAAUGCGGAAAUCCCGCGAGAUUUCAGAUCGAGGCUAGAGGCCAGACUAAUGUCCCGUACGCCAUCAGAUCGCCGCAAAGCUGCUUGAGAAACCGAUUGUUUGCCGCACGGUGUGGAAAAGCCAGAGCAGUGGAGCAGCAGGGGAGAAAUCCAGUGAUAGGCUGAGGUGGUGUGUUAUAGCACAGGCUGACCACUGGAGUCAGAGUAAGUCACCGACUAUUUCCUGGUGUUAUGAUGUGAAGUGUUAUGUACUGUUUUGCUGUAAAACACUGUUUAGAUUAACUUUAUUGAGGGUAUAGAGUUUAGUCGUGUUGUAAUAUUGUGAAUGUGUUUGAUUGUUUUAUUCCUUUUCUUCUUGUCUUUGUUUUCCUUAUCAGAAAAGUGAGGCCACUGCUGUUGUCUGUAUAGGGAAUCUGAUUUGUACACAGUAGGAAAGCUUAGGCCUCCAUUUUGUUUUCAAUCUGCAGCCGUUGAUCAGUUCUGUGUCCAUGAGCGGUGUUGAGACUGGAGGAGGCAGGGGCACAGUGUAUUGUUAAAGUUGAGACAUUUGUUAAUUAACCUCAAAACAAAGAAUUAACGCUGUUCUUAUUCUUUAUUAUGAGUUCAGUCGGGGAAUAAAGACCCAUUUUAAAUUUUA